CAGAUACCCAAGAUGACAUAAUUUGUUUGCUCUAUUUCUGACCAAUAUAACUAAUUUACAAUGACGACUGCCUCAUGCCGAGUCACUGUAGUAACCCGAGUAACAAAUAAUAUUUCUCACAUCGCGGUAGAUGAAGUUACCAGUAUGUUUUUUUCAGGUUCUCUGAAGACAGUCCACCUCUCAUCCAUAGUUAUCGGACACUGGUCAUUCACUGUCCGACAACUACCAAAGUCUGAGUCCUCAAGAGCAGUGGGAAGAGUGUAUUGUUUUCAUCACAACAUCUAAUUACAAGUAGCUACCUCAUGACUCAUUCACCUGCCAGAAUUCAAGGACUACUUUUGGUGCAAUCACAUGGAGUGCUAGAACUCUGCCUGCCACCUACUUAUUUGUCGUGCUGCAUUUACUCCUUGUUCUGCAUUAUCUCCACAUUGUUUGAAUAAAAUCUUGAAAAUGA